rnacentral:rRNA from 1 species
UACGUAGGGGGGCUAGCGUUGUCCGGAAUCAUUGGGCGUAAAGAGCGUGUAGGCGGCCCGGUAAGUCCGCUGUGAAAGUCGGGGGCUCAACCCUCGAAAGCCGGUGGAUACUGUCGGGCUAGAGUGCGGAAGAGGCGAGUGGAAUUCCUGGUGUAGCGGUGAAAUGCGCAGAUAUCAGGAGGAACACCUGCGGCGAAGGCGGGUUGCUGGGCUGAUACUGACGCUGAGGCGCGAAAGCCAGGGGGAGCGAACGGG